UACAGGGGGUGCAAACGUUGCUCGGAAUCAUUGGGCGUAGAGCGCACGUAGGCGGUUCGUUAUGUCGGAUGUGAAAGCCCUUGGCUUAACCGAGGAAGUGCAUCCGAAACUGGCGAGCUAGAGUACGAAAGAGGAUCGCGGAAUUCCCGGUGUAGAGGUGAAAUUCGUAGAUAUCGGGAGGAACACCGGUGGCGAAGGCGGCGAUCUGGGUCGAUACUGACGCUGAGGUGCGAAAGCGUGGGGAGCAAACAGG
rnacentral:rRNA from 1 species